GAAUGGCAAAGGACCAAGAAAAGGCUCGCCGCUUUCCACGGUGAGUGGAUUGCCGUUAUGGGAGUGUAUCAUAGUGGUCACAAUAGUCAUGACCUGCAAAAAAUGGCGUUGGAGAAGUAUGAACGGAACUAUCACCAGCCUUUCCAACAUUUAACUAUGUGGGAAAAAAUCAAGGAUGAUUCAAAAUGGCUAGCCUCUUAUAAAAACAUGAUGGCAAAAAAAGGAAACAUGACAGAGACCGAUCUCCCAUCAAAUAUGAUCAACUUGGAGGCCGAAGAGCGCCCAAAAGCUGGUCGUGAUAAGGCUAAGGCUGAACGUGCUGGUAAAGGAAAGUCGGGAGGGAUCUCGCAAGAGCUUGGAGAAAGGCUAGACAAGUUCAUCGAGGUUAACAAUCAAUCGAAGGAGGAGCGCCAAAAGGUGAUAGACAGCCAGGUUCUUUUAUCAAAUCAACAGCUUGAAACCGCAAAGAUCAACAGCUUGAAGCAUAUUAGAAAUUGGCUCGGUCAGUUUGUUGUGUAA
rnacentral:rRNA from 1 species